ensembl:lncRNA
CUCUGCAAUAUUCUUACUGAAAAAACUGUCACAGAUUAAUGUCGUUAACAUAACACACACCAACAUUUUCCGUAUUGGCUGUUGCGGUAGAGACGGAUUACCGUGUCCUUGGAGCCCAUGUUGCUGCCUUCGUGUUUAGUUCCCGUGAGGCUGGGAGAGGAUGCUGUUGCUUGGCAAUCAUGCUGCACACAACUUGUAAAUCCGCGUAUCCCCGUCUCUGUCUGUGAACUCAGCAGAAAAAUAUGUACACGCAGUUCGUUCCAUUUCACCUCCCAAACCCCCAACUGGAGAGAAUCACAAGUGUUGCCUACGACGCGCAGGGAGAGCCGGUGGACACGGUACAGCAGAGCGCUGAAGCUCAGGGGAGGACGGACGGUGACCUAAGAAUUCUGGAUGCUCUUGCAGGACGUGUGGUGAUGCAUGCUUUUGGAAAUAAAGCCAAGAGAACGUGUCUGCUGUGAAUAUGAUAUAUAGAAUCCACUUAAAAGCACACAGUGAGGCAGCUGAAACAGACUCUGGGCUUACAUUUCCGCUGAUGAAAGCCAAGGUUUUAUCCAUCCUGUCCAGGUGCCAGCUCAGAACUUCCCUCCGGUCUUUUGGUGUCGACUCAUGAUACUUCAUUCAUCUCUUCAAAUCUAGACUUCAGGGUGUUCAUUCAAGCGUAUCACAUUUAACCAUGUUAGUUUGUACUGCUGCGUUAUUUGAGAUGUUUUUGAUUCCAGACUCUGCCAACUAACCUCUGAGCUAUUGUUCCCAACCAGCUCUCUGAAAAUGUGAUGAGCCUUUUUGCUUCUGUCUUCUUCCAGACUGUCCUAAUCUUCUUAGGACUAUUCUUCUGUUUUAAACACAUGAAUUUGGCAGACAAUUACUUAUCUUACAUUUCUUUCUGUUUUUAUGCUAAUAGACCUCCUUGUGGGCCUACUGGUUUUGGCCCUGUUUUCAACUAUUCCCUUGUCGACGAAAAUAAUCCAUAACCAAUCUGUAAAUGAAAAUUUGGGUGAGUUUAUUCUGAGCUGAAAUCCGAGGACCAUGGCCUGGGGCCUUUCUUCCCAAAGGAAGAAAGGGCACUGAAGAAGUGGGGUGCACAGAGUGGUUAUAUACCCCCAAACAGGGUGUUUCACAUAUGAUUGAAAUGUGCCUCCCACAAUAGUCACAAGAUUGCCCUGUCGGCACAGCGUUUGAUAGACACAGCAGGUAGUGGGUCUGCUAUCUCAGAGGGUGUAGCAGGAGGCAAGACUAUUGUCUCGAGCUGGGCGGUCACAGGUGAGCGCAGCAAUCAGUUUCUAGCCCAAGGAAAGAUGCUUAAUCCUUAAGGAGAUGCCAACAUUGGGAGGGGCAAGGAAGUUGCACCUUUAUCUCAAGGGCCUUUGUUCUUGCCAUAGGGAAUCUCUAAAGCAGAUAUACAAUGCAUGCUCAGCAGCCACGGUCAGGCCCUUUUGGAAAGACAAGGUCAGGCCGAAUUAGGUUUAUACCAAAUGGCUUCCUCAUAUUCUCCAAUAUAUCCUAUUGCUUGCCAUUUUUAUUUGUCACCCUUCUCCUAAACUUUCUUUUCUAGAAGUUUCUUCCUUUCUAUCCAUGUGAUCAUAACGUUACCACCGAAGGGGAGUCAUCUGCUUGCAGCAAGACAUGCCAAUAAGGCAAGGUGGUAGGAGAGAAAGGACUUUAUUAUAGCUUGCUAGCAAGAGGGAACAUGGCUGACAUGUCUGAAAGAACCAUCUCACAGAACAAAGACAACAGGCCAGUUAUAUACAGUCUAUAUAUAUAUAACUGUAUAUAUAUAUAACUGCCUAUAUAUAUAUAACUUAUAUAUAUAUAACUGUACCUAUAUGUACAGUUAUAUACAGCCGGUCUCCAGGUAGGGGAGGCAGCUGGUCUCUGGGUGGGGCAGACGUCUGGUCCUAGUUCUUAAUAACCCUUUGUUUACUGUAUACGCAUCAGAGAAUGAAGCAAUGCCUAUACCCUGAUCUUUCCAUUGUCAUUGAUGAUGGCUAUCAGCAUGGGCUCUCUGCCCAGGGGUCAUCACAUUCCUAAGGAACUCAAAAGAGCAAAGGUAUCAUCUUAAAGCAGCUGGGGGGGUGGGGCACAAAAUCUACAGAGCAUGUCUGGGCUAGUUAGUCAGAGGUCAAUUAAAGUUACGCUAUGGUUUCUUUUCUAUGAUGUGUCUUGCCUUAUGUCAACCUUGUGUUGAGCUGGUAUCAAUAGGUGUGGAGAUAGGCAAGGUAAUUUUUAUAAAGAGGGAACUGUUGGCAUUAGGAAAUGAUCAAUUUUUGUGUUUUUACUUUCCUGAGUAAAAAUUCAGCAUCUGUAAACUUACAGUCCUUAAAAUAGUUAUAAGGUUUCUAACUUUGAUCUUGGGUCAAUUAGCUUGUUUCUUCUAUUCUUUAUCUUUGAGGAUUAUUUACCUUAAUUGAAGAGAUAAGAGCCAAAGAAAGAAAAAUCUCUGCAGCUGAAAUCAAUUUAUUUGGUCUCCAUGAUAUUUUAGAGGAUUGAAAAGAAACUAUUUUCGCCCCUGUGCUGCUGUGUAUGCUACUUUGACUGGAAGAUGCUCAGUCAUCAUGUUGUGCUGGCUGGGUCCUCCUGAAGGCAGAUCGUAGGAUGCAGCUGAGAAGAGGAAGGAAGGACGACUGGGUGUAGCACAACCAUGAGGAAGUCUUGGUCAGCCCAAAGAGGAGCUCUGACACAAAGACUCCCUCAUGUGGAGCGUCCCAUUGGGCAGACGUGGUCAGGUCCUGGUAUCUCCACCAGGCUCUGGUAUCAGCUGGGGCUGUGACUACCCAGGAAAUCAUAAACUCGGCACAAAUGGUGUUGUGGGUCCUGACAGCAACUGUUGGCUGGCUCUCUCUUGAAAAGCAAACAAAGAGCACACUCCAUGACUGCUACAACUCUCCAUCGGAGACAAAUGCUUUGUUGGGAUGUGACAGGGAAUAAAUCAGUCAGCCCAUAAAUUGAGAACUCCAAAAAAUCCUUCAAAGUCAGCUUGAACUAUUGAGUCUUGGUCCUUGACCUUUCUGGAAGAAUAGCUCCUUAAACAUUUUGAUACUAAAGGACACUAAUAAAAUUAUGUGUUGACACCUGUCUAGCCCUAUUGACUGUGUGCCUUGCCCCUAGCGAUUUGUUUGGGUCAGGGCGGCCCCACGACCAGCUGGUAGUUAACAAGCACAGGAAGAAGGCGAGGUUAGCAGAACCUUAGCAGGGAUGGGGGUGGGUUUGAAGAGAGUCAAGGUCCAUGAGGCAAUCAUACCAACAACAGCAACAAAUUCAAGCAGAAUACAGUGGGUUCCAUUUCCCAAGCUCUGUAUCAGACACAUGAACAUGAAUUCCAGAGAAUUCUUUGGCAGACUGCAAGCCCUUUUAAAAUACAUGUUUUAUAAUAUCUCUUUUAAUACCCCAAAAUGAAAAUCAUAGAUAAAAUACCUACCU